rnacentral:rRNA from 1 species
UGGGGAAUCUUCCGCAAUGGGCGAAAGCCUGACGGAGCAACGCCGCGUGAGUGAAGACGGCCUUCGGGUUGUAAAACUCUGUGAUUCGGGACGAAAGAUAAGUAGACGAAUAAUCUGCAUAAGUGACGGUACCGAAAAAGCAAGCCACGGCUAACUACGUGCCAGCAGCCGCGGUAAUACGUAGGUGGCAAGCGUUGUCCGGAAUUAUUGGGCGUAAAGCGCGCGCAGGUGGUUUAGAAAGUCUGAUGUGAAAGCCCACGGCUCAACCGUGGAGGGUCAUUGGAAACUAAUAAACUUGAGUGCAGGAGAGAAAAGUGGAAUUCCUAGUGUAGCGGUGAAAUGCGUAGAGAUUAGGAGGAACACCGGUGGCGAAAGCGGCUUUUUGGCCUGCAACUGACACUGAGGCGCGAAAGCGUGGGGAGCAAACAGG